ensembl:lncRNA
CCAUCGCACUGCUGCUUUUUCUUGCUCAAGCUCCUACUUGGUGUACUGCCCUGUGCUCACGUGGCCUGCAGCUUCCUCCUCUGCUGGUAGCAUUCAGCGCUGUCACUCCCAGAAGGAUGAGCAGGGUUUCUGCCUCAGCUUCCUUACUUACACAGCCUCAUGGAAGAAGGAAGGAAAGGGAAAUCACUGAGCAUACAUUUAUUGAACAGGAUAGACUUUCUGAAGCUGAAGACUUUAAUUUGCUGCCGAUCAGAAAAGAGAGGAGCUGGCCAUCACAAUCUCACUGAUGGAUAUACCUGAUGGACAAUUUGGCUUUCCCAGCUGUCUCCUGAAGAGCAGAAUUAUGGAGCCCAGAAGACUAAAAUCCAGUGAGUGGUACAUAUGUGGAAAAGCAGCUGUUUUAAAAUACCUUACGUUGGAGCUGGUAAUAGAUUAACUCUUGCUUUUACUACUUGGCAGAAAAUCGAGAAUAAAUUUCUCUGGAUGAAUUAGGACCUUGUUUAACUUCCAGCAGAAAAAUGAGGAGUUCUAGAAAAGUUGAUGGACUGCUUUCAAUUUUAUAAUGCAGAAAAACAAGCUGUUAACCUACAGAAAUAAUAACCAUGUGCUGUUGUGACUUGUUCUCUGCUUGUCUUCAGGCCCCGAGUGUUUGUAUUGGGAGAGAAUGCUAACUUUAUUGCUGGUGCCAGGGUUUCCUUUAUUUGCUUUUGACAUUUCACGUGUUUGUACUGUGGUGCCUGGCAACUUAUAUCACAAACUAAUUGGAGUAAGUGAUGAUUAAUAAAAUAAAGAAAAAUGAGGGUCAGCAGUAUGGGAGGGCAGGCAAUAAUAUGGGCCGUGACUCACUGAGGUAUGCAAAAAGCACAGGCGGCGGAAGGAAGGGAGUUAAGAACAGAUCACAUUACUGGCCCACCUCAGCCUCGGUGGGCAGUCAGCUGGCACAGGCAAACUAGAGCCAUUUCUUUAGCCAGUGCAAACAAAGAUGUCACAUGACUGUCCGUGCUUCCCGAGCCUUUGGGUAUGUCUGGUGGGUGGCUGCCGUCUGACUGGAGCCCAUAGGCUGUGGAUGCAGACCAGCUCCAGACAUGAGCUGUGUCGUUGGGUGAGCUUGAUCCCAUGUCUGCCUUUCUGCAGAGCUUGUUUGCUUGAGCACAGUGCUGCACUAACAUUGUGGCACAUCACGCACCUCUGGGCUGACUCGCAUCCGGCAGCCUCUGAGCACGGGCCAGACAAGCAUUCAUCCACCUUCUCACAGCUGCACUGAGCUCUCCCAAACCAGAGCUUUACUACUCGGCUUAUCUGAAAGGUGAUCCAGAUGAAAAUCUCAAGUGCAAGUCCAUUCCUCUUGUUACCUCCAGAGACACAGCACUGCUUUGCCUUCAUUCUCUAAGUGACAAAAAAAGGGGCAGUGAAAGUUAUGCCCCUGAAAGUCCUAACAAGUGGAGGUACUGGAAGACGCACUGUGACAAGGAGGAUGAAUGAAGGUAUCUGCUGCAAUCUAUACUGAGAGAUACAUUUGAGGAACUAGAUUUAGUGUCUUCUUACUGAAUGUGAUUCGCUCUGUUCCUCUCCUUCUAUUCUUUUUCUCCCAGAGGAAUGGUGAGAAUAGGAAACUUCUUUUAACAGCAAAGGAUGCUUCUGUCAGACUGUUAACUCCCUGAGAGUAAUAACAUGGAAACUGUUGUCUGGCAUUUUCUAUGUUGCUUCCACACUUACAAAACAAAGUGUAACAGUGCUACAGUUCCUUCUUUAUGUUGCCAGCUAAAGAAUUGAUGGAGGAAAAAUAAAUAAUUCUCUCUUUUCAAAAUAAAGGCUGAAAUAAAAGAGGUGAUGAGAAAUUUACUUCCUUUGCUUUCCUUCCUUAGCCAAGAAUUCAAGUUCAUUAGGGCAUCUAAGGAAAACAAUGCAGGAAGGCCCUAUAGCAGUGUGCUGUAAACAUUCUCCACGUGAUUUUCCUCCCCUUUACUGAGUUGACCAUGGGCUGCACUCUUAUUAUUUGCUAUUGCAAAUUGUGAAAAGUUUCUCCACUUCCUUAAUUUUAACCUUCUCAGCCCCUGAUGUUCAUUUUAUACUGAAGAAUAACAUUUCAAAUGGAAGAACAAAAUCUUACUUUGUCAUUCUGCUGCCAAUCCUCUGCUCAGCUGUGCAAGAUUUUUCCACCAAUGAAACACAGACCCAAAUACUCACCUCUCAGCAGUAGGCCUCCCUUCAAGAUGUGUCCUGCUGACACCCUUUCUGAUGUAUGCUUGAAACACACUGCAGUCUGCAGUCAUGUCACAUUACCUCACUAAUCAGCACAUAUGACUGCUAUGCCAAUGAACUUAGCCUCCUAUUAACACAGACUAUCCUGAUGCAUAACCUUUUUCAUAAAUUUAAUAGUAUUGUUUGGAAAACUAUUCAGAGUUCUCCCUAUUGCUUUCACUGACCACCUUUCCCUCCAGCAUACCCAGUUAGAAACCAUUUUCUAGCUUGCACUUUUUGCUUCCAGCUUUCCCUACUUUUCUAAACAUUUUAUUUAAGCAAGAGCCUAUCCUACCCCUUUUGGUAUUCUCACACAUGAUUCUCUGCAUCUAAGGCUAGCAGAGAUUCACUUUGCAGUCACUGUAUUUUACAUGCCUGAAGGCAAGUCUGAAACCCCAAAUGGGAAGGCCCAAAGCAAGGUACUGAGCUGAUUUAUUGUCUAAAACACUAAGGGUAGCUGUACUGAGUAGGUUUUGAAUAGUUUGUACUAGGUCAUAAAUAAGACUGUGUUGAGAACAUGGAAGACUGACUCUAAGAAAUCAUGAAGUGUGUUUGUUUAUCUCUAAAGAUAAGUAUUGGGUACCAUCCUUGUAAUGCCCUCUGCGAGAACUGAGCAGAAGAAGGCAAAAACAGUGUUUAGUUUUAGAGGUUAGAGGAUUUUAGCAAUGAUCAGCUUUUUUCAUUCACUUACAUAUGGUCUUACAGGAUGAACAGGUUGUAAGCUGUGUAAAUAGCGUAACAGAAUGUGAACAAAGAGAAAAGACUGGAUAUUUUCCUCAAGCUCAGGAUGUCAGGGCAAAUACAGGCAGCUUUAGAUUGUGUUUUGAUGUACCGUAAGAAGUUUUAAAAAGUUUGUAGUAGGCCAGCAUUGGACAAAUCUGUAUGGUAUGAAUGACUAAAUGAAAUCCAGUGGACCAGAAUAUUGGAAAUUAGAUUUUCUAUACAGUGUGUGAUUUUUGUAUUUUUUUUAGUACACAUCACAAACACAUAUUUAGCAGUAUCAAACUGAAAACAACUUAUUUUUGUGAGCAUGGUACAAAAGGCAAGUAAGCGGCUACUUUUCUACCUGACUUCAUUCUACUUUUCCAUGUCUAGCUGUAAGGUGCUGCAGUCCUAAGAGCAGUCUGAGCUCAGGCAACCUGCAGAUCCCAUCCCAUACUAAUCCUGUGCAGUACACUACUUCAGGAUCCUUCUAGGAGAGUGAUCACAUUUGCUUCAUCUUCCUGCUGCAACUAGAGAAGUACACAAAACAUGUGGCUGCUCUAAUAUGCAGAUAUAGCAAAAGUCCUGUCUUUCUCCUAUGAUAUACACCAAACAAUAUUUACAGAUUGUAUAUAGAAGAGGACUUAAAUCUUUCAGCACAGAUAUAGAGUUCAGUAGCAAGUACUACACCAGUCUAUUCAGAAAAAAAUACUUUGAAAAAUAAAAGAUAAAAAGGUAGAUACAUUUUGAAAAUAUUUCUUGUUUAUUACCACAUCCUCACUGUUUUCUUCAUGACAAAAAAAAAAAAAAAAAAAAAGGUAUACUUUUGUAGAGGUUUACAUCACUGUAGGUUUUUACCAUUUAUUCAUAUAGACUUAGAUGUAGAACGUGUGCCUUACGGCACUCCCAUUGAACACAGAUGCAGGGAUUUGGCUUUGCCUUUAUAAUUGUUUCUGUUAUAAACCCCUAUUUCAGAGUUCAGAUUUUGGUUAUAAAAAAUGCUUCCAGAAUAUAAUCUGGCAUCUAAGGGAUCUGUCAGGGAACAUUUAUUGCUAGUUUGACUUCAGUGUGGCUUUUUUAAGUUACAGAUGUGCUUAAAGAGUAUUAUCCAUGCUUUCAGAUUUCUGAAGAUUUAAGGUAACUUUCAAUUGCAAAUGGAAGUCACCACACUAUAAUGUGGAAUGAAAGCAUUGUGUUUAGAUAAAAAUACCAUAAAAACCCUAAAUGCUCACUUGAGUUUUUUUUCUAAAUAAUGAGUGUAGUUACUUCAUAACAGACUUGCACUAAGGAUAAAUUACAUCCUUGCUGUGCUCAAGGGAAUAUGCUUUUCACUAAGAAAAGUAAAAUGAUCUAGUUUCCUCUAACAUAUUUACUAUGCUUCAAACAGUUAAUCAGAUUAAAACUGCCCAUUCUAGAUAUAUGGGUUUCUGCUAUUCUGGGCUCUCCACAGAUAAACUGAGCCAAUCCCAAAAGUCUUUACUUAUGUCAGCAAAUUUGAAGUCUGCAUGGAAGAGCAAUUUCCUUGGCAUCUGAGAAACACGACAAUUUUGUCAAAAAACUCUGACUGAAAUCUUUUAUCUAUUGUAGAGCUUAAGCAUCCCAGAGGUAUUGCUUGGACUCUUUGACAAGGGUCCAGAAUUAGCCAUACACACAACGAAGGAAUGUAGACAUACAUAGUGGAUGAAAAUGUCCUUCUCUGGCUCCUAUGCAGAACCCCUCUCUGAGCUUCAGGAUUGUCAACAGACCACCUGGAGGGAUAAGUCUUAGCCAAGAACAUGGAAGCUUUGAGAGGCAUGAUCUCCCCGUCCUUCUUGGCUUCUUGCAGCUCACUUGGUAAUGCGCCAGGCUUUUUGAUUCUGGGGCUGCUCAGAGCAAUUAGAGUUCCAGGGCUCCCCAGGUCUAUGGCAGCCCAGCUGGAUUAUAAAGCUUUUGGCUACUAUAAGUGGGAACUGAAAAAGAAAAAAAAACUCAGUAUUUUUAUUGGACUUAGAAUACCAUUUCCCUGGUGUGUCA